rnacentral:rRNA from 1 species
UACAGGGGGUGCAAACGUUGCUCGGAAUCAUUGGGCGUAAAGCGCACGUAGGCGGUCUGUUAUGUCGGAUGUGAAAGCCCUUGGCUCAACUGAGGAAGUGCAUCCGAAACUGGCAGGCUAGAGUACUAAAGAGGGUCGCGGAAUUCCCGGUGUAGUGGUGAUAUGCGUAGAUAUCGGGAAGAACACCUAUGGCGAAGGCAGCACUCUGGGACGGUACUGACGCUGAGACGCGAAAGCGUGGGGAGCGAACAGG